AUGAACGCUUGCGGCGUUCCUAAUACAUGCAAGUCGAGCGAACAGACGAGGAGCUUGCUCCUCUGACGUUAGCGGCGGACGGGUGAGUAACCCGUGGGUAACCUACCUAUAAGACUGGGAUAACUUCGGGAAACCGGAGCUAAUACCGGAUAAUAUAUUUAACCGCAUGGUUCAAUAGUGAAAGACGGUUUUGCUUUCACUUAUAGAUGGAUCCGCGCCGCAUUAGCUAGUUGGUAAGGUAACGGCUUACCAAGGCAACGAUGCGUAGCCGACCUGAGAGGGUGAUCGGCCACACUGGAACUGAGACACGGUCCAGACUCCUACGGGAGGCAGCAGUAGGGAAUCUUCCGCAAUGGGCGAAAGCCUGACGGAGCAACGCCGCGUGAGUGAUGAAGGUCUUCGGAUCGUAAAACUCUGUUAUUAGGGAAGAACAAAUGUGUAAGUAACUAUGCACGUCUUGACGGUACCUAAUCAGAAAGCCACGGCUAACUACGUG
rnacentral:rRNA from 1 species